AGACCCGAAACCCGGUGAUCUAGCCAUGGGCAGGUUGAAGGUUGGGUAACACUAACUGGAGGACCGAACCGACUAAUGUUGAAAAAUUAGCGGAUGACUUGUGGCUGGGGGUGAAAGGCCAAUCAAACCGGGAGAUAGCUGGUUCUCCCCGAAAGCUAUUUAGGUAGCGCCUCGUGAAUUCAUCUCCGGGGGUAGAGCACUGUUUCGGCAAGGGGGUCAUCCCGACUUACCAACCCGAUGCAAACUGCGAAUACCGGAGAAUGUUAUCACGGGAGACACACGGCGGGUGCUAACGUCCGUCGUGAAGAGGGAAACAACCCAGACCGCCAGCUAAGGUCCCAAAGUCAUGGUU
rnacentral:rRNA from 1 species